rnacentral:rRNA from 1 species
CAUAAGUGUUCGGCGUGAUCGGGAUGGAGUAGAUGAGCGCGUGGGGAUCGGACGCAUCUUCGUGCAGUUCGCAGGGAUAGGCAUUUUCCGGCUCCACGAAUUUGCCCCCGUCGCGAUGCAGGAUACCGUAUUGCGAGUGUUGCACCACUUGCCAGUCAGGCGCAUCGACAGCGACGGAUCCCAAGAUCAAGCGUUUGACAGGCUGCACGGUGGCAGGCGGACCAGGCGGAGAAGUUACUGCAACCGGCUUGGAGGCACGCGAGUGCCCUGGUUCCGUAGAGACAGGCGAAGAAUCCAGCGGAUGCGCAGAGGCACGCGUAGGAUCCAGCGGCGGCGGAGAGUCCGGCGCAGAACCCACCUCCGGCGUUAAGACCUGGGCAGAGCCCGUCGCGGAGGGUCCAGCCGGUCCAGCUUGACUGCGCAUGCUGGCGUCGGACACGUUUGACGCACGGCGUUGCGGCGGCUGUAGCGAUGGUGGCGUGACCCGAUUGUACUUGUGCAGCCGGUGUUGCACAAAGCACGGCUUCUCAUCCUGGAGGAAGAAAAUUUCCCGAAGCGGCUUUCCAUCCGGCUCGAAAAGUUGCGUGGGGCAGCGAACGUUGUUGAAGUAUACAGUUCGCGCACGCGAGUGAAGCAUACCAUGGACAUGAGUUGGCGUGAUCAGGACUGGUCGGGCACCGCGGAGUGUGAACCAGUCGUAGAUGGCCAUGUCCGUGACGUCGGUGGGUAGGCGUUGCAAAUCCACGUAGUACAGCUUGUCGUACCGGGAAUAUUUCCGGAUCGUGACCACCGUGUUGCAGAUAGUGAGCUGAACCCCACCCAGUCUACUGAGGACGGUGUCAGACGUGCAGACAAACGAGAUACCUUGCCGCGGGAUCCUGGUAAAGUCUUGGAGGAACGUACGGGAGUCUUUCCAGACGGCCGGCUGUUUGUCCGAGUUCAAGGACUCUAGGAUCUCGCUGAUGUUAUGUUCCGUGGUCAGCUUGGGUGCCGGUAUCCACAUCUGCGUACAAAUCUUGGCUUCGACCGGCGUCGGUAAAGCCGCGAGGGCCGCAAAUCGACGAUCAGCUUCCGAAGCUGAGACAUCAUCCACGCGUUCGUAGCUGGCUGCGAAUUGGCAGUCAUCCGGGACCCAUCGGCUGGGAGGCGCAGGCCGGUUGGGUUUGGUCCGUGAACGUGCCGGCGGGGACGUCGGAGGGCGUGGCGGCGUGCGUGAAGCAGCUACCAUCGUUGCCGAUACGGAGGCGGUGCACGUAAGCAGAUCAACUGUGGUGGGAGCAAGAACUGCCCACAACUUCUCUCAAAGGGCCUUACGGCGAAUGCGGAGAUCAACGCACCAGUGAGGAGACAGCACCACAGUAUAAGGUUGCUUUGGCUGAGUAGAAGGACACGUCCAACUAACACCGGGCUUCGACUCUAGGAAGUCUGUACAGGCCAACUAGCACCCACCUAAGGAAGGGGGAGAACGGUGGUACCUUCUGAAACAGAGAGGUUCCGGCCGCCUAGUGUCUUGACGCACGUACCACUCAGUGGCAGUGGGAGCACUCGGCUGUUAUUGCGCUGUACAGGCGACUCUGAGUCACGGACUAGACGGUGGCAGCACUCGGUUGUGCGCGGCCGUGGGGAUGCGGAUGCUACGUCUCUAGUGCCGAAGACACUUAAGCAGACACCAGUCGAAAGGUACCUCAAUACCCGGACACGGCGUAGGUGCAGCCUACAGUAUAUGCCUUUACUACUCCACGUAGAUUCGGGCUUUUCGGCGAUCACUCUCAGUCCGUCCUAGCGUUCUGAAGAGCGUUUAAGUCUGACACCUCGCGGCGGCAAAAUCGCACUACACUUGUAGUUGAGGCAAACCCAGUCGAGUUCCUUUCGGAAAGACUUAGCGCAAACUCUAGUCGCAGCAGGGAUGAGCCCACAGUAAAACCGUAGGCGCCUAACUGUCUGCGGGUUCGAGGAACGGAGGCUUGGAGGGGCUUGGCAGUAGACGGCAGCACUCCGCGAGGAGAACUAACGACGACGGCUUCGGCGGGGGGCUUGGGCAGCGGAAGACAGCACUCCGUGAAGAGGACUGGCGACGGCGGCGUGGGCGAGGGGGGCUUGAGCGGCGGCGAGAGCACUCCGUGAAGAGAGCUGGUGGCGGCGGCGGGAGCGAGGUCUGCGUGUGACGGAGACGGGGCUGACUCGAGAUGUGUGCUCGAGGCGGCAAAUUUCGGAAUGGGGAGUUUGGCUGGGGCGGCACAUCUGUUAAAUGAUAACACAGGUGUCCUAAGGUGAGCUCAAUGAGAACAGAAAUCUCAUGUAGAACAAAAGGGUAAAAGCUCACUUGAUUUUGAUUUUCAGUAUGAAUACAAACCGUGAAAGCGUGGCCUAUCGAUCCUUUAGUUCUUUAGAAUUUUAAGCUAGAGGUGUCAGAAAAGUUACCACAGGGAUAACUGGCUUGUGGCAGCCAAGCGUCCAUAGCGACGUUGCUUUUUGAUUCUUCGAUGUCGGCUCUUCCUAUCAUUGCGAAGUAGAACUCGCCAAUUGUUGGAUUGUUCACCCACUAAUAGGGAACGUGAGCUGGGUUUAGACCGUCGUGAGACAGGUUAGUUUUACCCUACUGAUGAGUUCGUUGUCUAAACAGUAAUCCAACCCAGUACGAGAGGAACCGUUGGUUCAGAUAAUUGGUAACUGCGGUUAGCUGAAAAGCUAGUGCCGCCAAGCUACCAUCUGUAGGAUUAUGGCUGAACGCCUCUAAGUCAGAAUCCAUGCUGGAAUAGACGAUAAUCACCUUUCCCGAUGUGCCGCGAAUAGCGAUAGGUGUCUUCUGGGCACCCAACAUCAUACAAUUGCAACGCACUCCGCUGUCUGUCAAAUGCUGGCGGCGGAGAGUAGGCUGACUUGUAAUUUCAAAUAUUGGGAAAGAUAAAUCC